UUUCCGGUUGAUCCUGCCAGAGGUUACUGCUAUCGAGAUUCGACUAAGCCAUGCGAGUUGAAUGUUCUUCGUGAACAUGGCGGACUGCUCAGUAACACGUGGACAACCUACCCUUGGGUCUGGCAUAAUCCUGGGAAACUGGGAAUAAUUCCGGAUAGGUCACAGAUGCUGGAAUGCACUGUGGCCGAAAGCUCCGGCGCCCAAGGAUGGGUCUGCGGCCUAUCAGGGUUGUAGUGGGUGUAACGGACCUACUAGCCUACGACGGGUACGGGUUGUGAGAGCAAGAGCCCGGAGAUGGAUUCUGAGACACGAAUCCAGGCCCUACGGGGUGCAGCAGGCGCGAAAACUUUACAAUGCGGGAAACCGUGAUAAGGGAAUCUCGAGUGCCAGCAUAUAAUGUUGGCUGUCCAGAUGCCUAAAAAGCAUCUGUUAGCAAGGGCCGGGCAAGACCGGUGCCAGCCGCCGCGGUAACACCGGCGGCCCGAGUGGUAACCGCUUUUAUUGGGUCUAAAGGGUCUGUAGCCGGCCAAGUAAGUCCCUUGGGAAAUCUGGCAGCUUAACUGUCAGGCUGCUAGGGGAUACUGCUAGGCUUGGGACCGGGAGAGGUGAGAGGUACCUUGGGGGUAGGGGUGAAAUCUUGUGAUCCUCGGGGGACCACCAGUGGCGAAGGCGUCUCACCAGAACGGGUCCGACGGUAAGGGACGAAAGCUAGGGGCACGAACCGGAUUAGAUACCCGGGUAGUCCUAGCCGUAAACGAUGCUCGCUAGGUGUCAGUCACGGUGCGACCGUGAUUGGUGCCGUAGGGAAGCCGUGAAGCGAGCCACCUGGGAAGUAUGGCCGCAAGGCUGAAACUUAAAGGAAUUGGCGGGGGAGCACUACAACGGGUGGAGCUUGCGGUUUAAUUGGAUUCAACGCCGGAAAU
rnacentral:rRNA from 1 species